rnacentral:pre_miRNA from 1 species
AAGAUGAAUGCUAAAGACUGGAAGACAUGGGAAUUAAAAACCAUGUCUUGAAGAGAACAGUAAGGGAG